AGUUAUUCCUUUAUAUGGAGCUACUGCACACUGGAAACAGCUGCUGUCAGCAAAAACAGCCUAUCUGAAAACCUACAAAGCUUCACAAGUCUUAACAGCUUAACAGACCACUACAGAACAGAGGUGUGAAGUUUACUGAAGUCCAAUUGAUUAAAGUCACAUGCCAGUCUUAGCUGGAAAGCAAAGAAAAGAGGUUCCAGAUGCAACAAAAUUUUGGAUGCUUCUAAAGCUGGACAGAAAAUUAAGAGCUUGAAAGCUGAAACCCUUGGAAAAUUUCAGAUUGAAGACACUUGAACACAAGGGCAAAUAUGAAUCUAACCAUGAAAUUUCCUAGACUGUUUUGUUUGCAUGUUCAUUAGCAUCUUCAUGUUAGCACGUUUCAUUAGAAUUAACAUUUUCUUAUGUUUCAAAUGCUUCAUUUUGCCAAUUAAAUCAUUGCUUAAAAUAUCAUCAGGGGCUCAUUUUUCAUGAGGGCAAAAACAUUACACUUCUGUUCAUGUAUGACUUGUUACUCUCAUCUUCCCUCUUUCUGUUACAUACUUUUGGAAACCAUAAAGUUUGUUAUGUAAGCAUAGAGGAUGAAAACCAGCACAUAAAUAGUUAAUUCUUAAAGCCACUAAUGGUCAGGUUGAAAUUACUUAGAGUAUAACUUAAACAAAGGUUAUAUGAUUUUAUUGUAAUUAAUUUAUAGGGACUCAGGAAUGUAAUAGCUAUUUACCCCCUUCCUCACUUUCUGAAAGUCAACAUUUGAGAAAUUCACCAUUACAGUUGGCUUCCAGACAUUUUCCAUUAACUCAUUGGAAAAAUUUCCUUUCCUUAUUUGAAAAAGAGGGAAAGAGAAACACUUCCUCAGAAAUUAAACAAUUCCCCCUUAGAAAAACCUGUAAGGUUCAUGCUGUCAGUGGAAGUUUGAUUGCUUUUUCAAAUGUGUUUCAUUUCUAUGUUCUCAGUAGAUACAAGGGCUUUUCUUCCUGUCCACGUGCGCCUCAAGAGCCAAUGCACAGAGAAGAAAUUGGAACUUUUCAGGACUUCUUCAGGCAUAACAAGGGGAACGGGAAACUUGUCAUGUCCAUACUCAGCUCCCUUCCAAAUAAAGCCCUUGUACUGCUUUGGCAGCUAAUGCUGAAUUAUAAAUCAAGUAAUAGGAGAUAAGCUGAGGAAUAGAAAACAACAGAUUUUUCACUCUAAAAGGGAAGACAUUCUAAUGUGAAGAAACUUUUCAGUCUAAAAAAUCCAUGACAUUUUAAAAAUAAUCCCUGUAGUCUGAUUAAAUAUGGAAAUGAUCUUUAGACAAAGUGAACACUUCACAUUUCUGAGCUUGAUAUUUUAUUUUAUUUAUCUCCUGCAGAUUCAAACAAUUUCAGAGGAUGUAACUAAACCACAUGUGGUUUACCAUUGAUCUUUACCAUAAAUCAGAAGAAUGAUGAAAAUUGUGGAAAAAGGAAUAUUUUAGAACAGGCUGAAGUACAGACACUGGGAAAUGAGAAAAAGGUGGAGCCUUCUCCCUUAAUCAAAGCUGCAUCCGGAUUUUGUCCAGGACUUCAUCCACCAUUCAUCAAUUUUUAAAAAAAUUUUUGUCCUUCAAAGACUAAUCUCAACAUAUUUUUUCUUUUUUGAAACUUAAGAAGUGUCCAAUUCUUCGGAAUAUGCUGCAUAAAAAACCUUCAGUACAAUAUGUUUGACUUCUCCAUAAAUAAUUUUACUGUAUGAAAUCAGAGCUUCUUAUUAUAUUUGGUCUUAUUCGUUUUGAUGUGCUGUGAUUUUCCUGCCUCAUGCUGUAGGUCAUGCUGUGGGAUUAGUUAUACAGCCAUUCUGCUACUGACUAGUAACUGACAGAAGCUGUUUUCAUAACCUUUUUUGAAGAUUGCAACAUCUAUAUAUGUAUUUCUGUUUUCCAGCUUAUCUUGACUUUUCAAAAUACUUGCAAGCUCCUUAUCAGCAGAGUUUUAAAACUUGUAGUAAGGAAUAAGUUCCUUUUCCUAGCUAGCAUGCUAUCAGUUUGGGAAAAGUCACUUAAAAACAUGAGCAAAAGAGUCUCAAUAUAUUUAAAUUGUAACCUUGAAAGAAAAAGGAAUGUUAUCUCAAAUGAUCAAGACUAAUGAUUCAGGAUUUUAGAGAUCAUUAUCAAAACUUCAGAGUCAAGUUAGAUGUACUGGAUAAGCCUGACUGCUGGAUGGAUUCAGAAGAUCCUUGAGAGCAAGGUGCUUUGGCAGGCGACCUUCAUCUGAAACACACAUGUACAUGUGCCCUCACCCAGCUUGUGAAAGGUGAAAGUUGUGAAAGUGUGCUUGUGAAAGGUUUUGUACGGCAAUAACAUCCCAGUCUAUUUUUUUUCUUAAAUCAGAGCACUGGAAUUCACAGAGGAAAGUUUUCUUUAUGCUUUAACAAUCCAAAUAUACAAAAAAAAAAGUAGAUAAUUUUAUCUUGAUCUGCAUGAACAGCCUAGAGUAAGUAUUAUUAUACAUGUGCCUAAAGAUGAACCAUCCUAUUCACUUUGCAGGAUGGAGAGAGCAGCAUUGUGCCUGAGUUUAAUGUUGCUGCCAAAAAGCCAGUUAAACAGAUUAUUAAGAGCUGUACAAGCAGCUUAAAUUCUCAAUCUAGAUAAAAAACUCACAGUAGCAGUGGCCUUAGAAGUGAUGAAUCAGUGUAGUAAGGAAAAAAAGCUCUUUCGGUACUUUCUCAGUUUGUAGGGUGAAGAUGUGCUCUGAAGUGUGAGUUUGAAGGUUUUUCCUGGAUUUUAAAACAUAUUUUAUUUUCGGUUGCGUUACAAUCCGAUUAGUGAGAGAUGCCUCUGCCCAAAUAAGUGCAGACCAUAUGCCACAGUCAAUAAUAUGGAUUUUAUUUAACAAUGACUGUGAGGUAGAUAGGAAAGUGGGCUAGAGGAGAGGAGACCAAGCAGAAGAACAUCUGUGGGUCCAGCAGUGUCCCUUGGUCCUUUCUUCACCCUGGAUUUCUCAGUGGUGGGAGAUCCAAAGCCAUUCUUCUGUGGGUACCACCUUUAUACAGCCCAGGUUUUGGUAUCCAUGGGGUGGUCACAGAUUCCCAUAACUUGGGAUGAUAUAUGUCUGGACAAUUGCUUUCUUUCCCACAGUUUGUCACAGCAGGAUUUUUUGUUGGGAUGCUUUAAGCAGGAUAUGCUAAGCAAAUUUCCUCUGCCAGGCCAGGAAUUAGUGCCUUUUUGUUGCAAAUGCCUCCCUUCUGUGCUUAUCUCAAAUACCUGCUGUGGAGCCUUAUCUUGUGACAAGAUCCUUCUGUGGCCUUGACAACAUUUGAGACAGGCAGCUGGGCUCUUUAAGUCGUGAGAAGUAUAUUUGAUGGUGUUUUAGUAUUUAGAAUUAAGUUUUAAAUAUUUAGUGUUUUAGUAGAUGGUUUGGUAAUUUUAUAAUUCAAGACUGACUUUAAAUUAAAUGGUUUGUUUUUUCCUACCCCUGAACAUUGUUAUUUUAAUUCAAAAUUUGCUACAAUUUGACAUGAAUACGAUAUAUUAACUAUACUGGUAGUAUAAAGGCUUAUGGAAAUUAAUUUUUUACACUGACAAUGUAUAGCGCUGUAUUCUACUGUAUUCUAACAAAUAAACAAUAUGUUCUCAAUAUACACCAUGAUAAGCCCUACAGCUACCUUGAAAGAAAAGCAAAGCACAACAUAAGAAUUUCAAAGGAUAUCUAGUCAGACAAGUGCAUGGUACUACCCAUGAAAUAGAUUUUAACUGGACUUACACAUAAAAUGAAAGUUAAAUUUCUGAAGGUUCAUUUCCACUCUCUUUUAAGAUAGUAAGUAAAUCAGAAAGGACAUGGAACUCCUCAUUCAGUAAAGGAAAUUCAAAUUGGAAGGGGCAAUUUUCAUGUUAGCAGGUCUUGCAUCACUAUUUCUCUGACUUGAACAACCUCAUUUAAAUACUCAGUGAAGGCAUGAUGGGCUUUGAUGAAAAUCUUGAUAGAGAGUGAAUGUUUUCUAAUAAUUUUCUUUUCCAGCCUCAGUUGAAAUACUUUACAACUAAUUUAUUUUUUGUUCUCCAUCAUUUUCUUGUUUGAAAUAUUUUGUCACAAAUUUUCAGAUUAAAUGAUCCCUUAUCAGUCAUAAACCAAGUCAAUAUUAGUGAUUUUUACUCCAUGUGAAAUACAUUACAAACAAAGAAAAAAACCCCAAACUAUAAACAUAUAUUAAGCAAAUGGAUUGUGUAGGAAAGAGAAGUAAGAGAAGAAAGGGUGUAUGAAGUCCUCAAAUCAAAUAGUUUCAGGUUACCCCAUGAAGAUCCAUUAUCAGCUCUCUGCAGUGUGGGAAGGAUGAGUUAGGAAGCUCACAGGCACUGGCUUUUGUGUUUUGUUUGCCUUGAGUAUGUCACAGCAGCACAACAUUCUGUCAUGCAUUGAGGUGGUAAGGGUCAUGGCAGGAAAAAUUAUAACAGAUUCAUUAAAAUCAUGUUCAUAUUAAUCUAAAACUCAGAUACAUUGCAAAUAAUGAAUGAGCUCUGCCAGACACUCCAAAUGAAUAAUGGCAAAAUCUAUGCAAUAAAUAAUUCACUUACGUGUGUCUUCUAUUUUACAGAAACUUCUAAAGUGCUAUGAGAAACAUUUUUCGUAGAAAAAGAACAAACUUUUGGGAGUGAGGCAAAUCUCUUCAGCUGUAAUGAUGAGAUUCUUUUUAAGAUCUAUGACAUGGAAUACUGCUUCCACUGUAUCUUUCAGAAUUGUUUUCUUGAUCACAAAAUGAGAAGCAAAGCUGAGUGCAUAGAUGUGUUGCUGGGUCCUUUAACUUCCAUUCUGAGUAAUAAUUCUGCAGACCUAAGAUUUAUGCUUGUCAUAGAUUACAUUAUACAUGUAAUCUAAGGCAUAUAUAUUCCAAAAUGGAAUGCCUCUCGUUAUUGUUUACUUUUUAAAUGGGAGAUAUGUCAUAGCUGUGAGCUAAAUACCUCUUUUGCAUUCACAUCUCUAAGUUUCCUAGAAAAACAAUAAUGUUAAUGGAAGGUAGAGCAUUUCAUUUCGAAUUUAGAGGCUUUUGUUGAUAAUGUUAUUUAAACCCAGGAAGGUUAUACUUAAUUAUAGAUAUGGCAGUGUUUUUGACAGUUCAACCUCUUUAAUGGAUUAUCUUUCCUCAUUUAAAUAUAAGAAGUAGGAAUAAUAAAAAAUGAAUCUACAAAUUUAACAAGCUUCUUUUUAUAUGCUUAAUAACUAUCUUUGAAGGAGAAUACACAGCACACUGAGCUUUAAAAAACUGACAAUAUUUAUUAAGCCACAAAAGAGCUUAUGUAGCUUUGUGAUUAUGGACAGGAAAGAAUUUUAAAAAAGGCAAAGUUAGCAAAAAAAAAGCUUUAAAGUAAGCAGAAAUUACAUGUCAGUCAUAGACAUUAAAGCUGGCUGUUUUUAAACUCCAACUGCUAAGCCCUGGGCAUGAAACAAGAAAAUGAUGAGGUAGGCUGAAUGAAAUGCACACAAAUGCUAAUGUUUAGAACCUUACCUAAAGUUAAAAAUACAAAUGCUUGCUUUAAGGAAAAGGUUUCAAAUAAAAUAAAAGAAUCCAUCACAUGAGUCUGUAUGAAUACAAAUAUGCUGAAAUCCACACAGAGGGAAUAUGUUAAAGAUAGACUUUCCUUUUCUGUUGAGAAAUCUUCCUACUGUGUGCUCUAAAGGAUACUGAAGUUUCCUGUUAAAGGAAUGCAGAAAUAAGGAUUUUUACUGAAUAAAGCCACAUGAUUUUAUUAGGGGAGGAAGGAAUCUGGCAGUCUUCAAGUGGAAUAAGACAAUUAUCAUUGCAUACAAUAAAAUUGGCACCAAUUAAUUCAUUUUCUGCUUUUUUUGAAUGCUUGCUAUGGUAAAUCGUAGCAUUUGCUGAAGAAUUCUUCAGAAGAAUAUGUACUGAGUAUAUUUCCUAGAAUAAUUGUCAGAUAUUACAAAAUUAAGUAUUUGAUUUAGGAAACCACAUCUUAAUUUCCUCAUCUACGGCAUUAGAUACAUUUAUAUGUGCCUAUUAUGUAUGCACACUUACAUGAGUGUGUGUUUGUGUGUGUAUAGUGCUGAGUGUGUUUGCAUGUGUAUAGUGUUGAAAAAAUCACUUUUGUUUUUACUGUGUUCAUCUGCAAAAUAGAGCGACAUCGUAAAAAUUAAAAAAUAGAUGUCUAUCAUAAAACACUCCAAACCAACAAACUGCAAAACAUUUCAAGUUAGAACAUUACUACUUCUCUUUCCUGGCCCAGAUUCCUAUUAUAGACUUUCUUAGACUUUAAGAAAGGAGUGCUGAAAAAUCAGUGGAAAGGGCAAGGAUUCCCAAAACUUAACAUGCAUUCCUCAUUGAAGAUGGGAAGAAACCCAGAGGAAUCAGCUCACAUAUUUUCCAGUGCAUUUGUAUUCCCUUCUUGGACUCCUCUGUCCUACAGACAUUUUCCCACCCUGGUCUAAUCACCUGGUGUGCAGCUGAACUGCAGCCAGUGGACUUGGUUUCACCACUUGAAGCAACCCUUCUACUUUAAAGGGAAGAGCUGAUGAAACUGCCAAACUCCACCAGUCUGAACAGAGAAAUCUAUAGUCUCUAGUGGAUCUGUCCCCCUUUUGUCUGCAUUCAUGUUUUACUCUAAAUGAUUGUUGAUUUAUGUAUCUAGAGUCAGCAAGAGUAACAGUGACUCAUAAUGACCCUGCUAUGCCAUUGCACAUGCUAUUGCUUGGUUUUGUUACUGCUACCAUAUUAUUUCUAUUCACUCAUAGUGUUUCUGUUUUAUAACAAAUUCUUUUUUCCAUGGACCUGGCUGUGUGCAGUACAGUCAGGCUGAGGCACUGCAUGGGAUCUUUGCAUCCUUCCAUCACAGACAGUGGUAAACACCAGUUUUUGCAACAGCCAGUUCCAUUUUCCAUUUCCUACUAUAUGUGUUAAAAUGAAACAUACUCAAAUUAAAAGGCUCUUUUGAGUCACAGCUAGGAGGUCCAUCUUUAUUGGAAUACUUUAUUAGUCAACACUGUUUUGAAUUUAUUUGUCCUGUGUGUGUGCAUCUCCAGAAAUUACAAUUGUGUAUGGAAACAAUUAAUGGUAACAUCCCAUCCAGAAUGUUCUCCCUAUGAUACUACAAGAAAAUUGUUUCAACAAUAACAGCUGGCCACAUGAUGGACCCUUUAGUCCUUUAUUUUCACCAGAAAACUUGAAUAAAGAUAACAGAAUUUGACCUAAUAAUAAGAAAAUAAAUUAUAUGACUAUUGUAAUAAAGCCCUGUGAAAUAUAAAGCCCUGAUGUAAUGGCAACUGCUCAACUCAUACCUUUGAAGAAAGAGUAGUGCUAGCUGUUUGACUGAACUGUUGCAGGCAAAUAUAUACUGCAAACAGCAGUUCCAAGAAAGUUGGAAUACCAGAAUAAGCUUUGUUCUUCUAUAAGAAAUACCAAUUUUUUCUGAAAAGAAAUAUCAUUAUAGGGUAGUCAAUAUAUUUUUUAUACGAGACAGAUAAAGAACCAAUAAAGUUCUUAAUGUUGUUUGUCUCAAAAAAGAGUACUUUGUUCUUCAUGAAAGAAAUGGGAAAACAAAAGUGAGCUUUCAAAAUUCCAGCAUUUAUGUCCUUUCAUGAUCUUACAUGAACAAUGUAAUUCAAAGGCUAUCAGAAACAAAAGGUCUAGCAAACUCCACAGCAUUCUGCAUUUGGAAUUUCCAAACAAACCUACCAAGGUGAAGUGUCUGUUGUUUUUUACAGUCUGUUCUCCUGCAACACCUCCAAUAUUUUUGUCAUUAAUAUAUGAAACCAAGUGCAUCAAUUACAGUUGCCAUUAGAAUAAAAACCUAAUCUCAAUUUUAAGAGUUGGUGUGCUCUAAAAUAAAAUAAAAAUUAUUUCUAGACAUUGUCAUGAACAGCACAUCAGGGAUUUCAUAUUUCUGAGAAGCAGCACUUAAAAUCAUGAACUCAGAUAUCAUACAGAAGCUACAAAUACAUAUUUUUAAAGUAACAAAUACAGUAUCCAGGCCCUUCACUGUUUUCUGCGCUCCAAGCCCUUAUUCCAGCAGCAAAAAAGCCAGUGCAGAGAUGCAGCAUGUAAAAGAUUCAGGAAAGGUACACAUAUCACUGUACAUUCCUUGUCAGUGGAAAUGGGCUGGGUACACCAGUGGAACAAUGUAAACUCGAAUUCUGACAGAAAGAUUCACACUGCCAGUCGUUUUUCACAAGCUUUCUGAAGGUGACAUUUCAUCUCAUGAAUUUUCAUCAGAAAAUAUGUUUCACUCCAUAAAGGUAAAAUCUAUUGUCUUAAAUAUGUGCAGUGAAUAUUCUGAUCUGAAAUUUGCAAACAUUUAUCAAGUCAAGAAUAAAGGUGUGCACUCUGAUGGAUCAGUCACAAUUAAAGCGGUAACAUAGCCAUCACAUAUGCAGCCCUUGUGAAGGCUGCAUACUUGUGGAGAAGUCUAUGCAAAUAAAGCAUGAAAUGUAAGAAAAAAAAUAAGAAAAAAAGCAAAAAAAUUACACCAAAAUGAUAAUAUUUAUUAAUAUGGAUGUAAAAGAGAUAUUAGCUGAACAGAAAUCCAAAGGUUACUCCUGCAAUAGUGAACAAAUUAGUGAUAGAAUGUAUUUUUUGGCCAAAGACCUGUUGCUACAUCCUUAUCAUUAAGUUCUCAGCCACCAAAAUCAUUGUGCUUAUGUAUCAUACUGGAUUUUUCCAGGGGAGUAGUAGGAGGAAAGAACAAAACUCUGCCCCGGAGCUUCUUAUCAUGAAAGUAGGUGAUGGUUUUCCAGUGCUUUUCUUCACUCUCUAGAAAUACACUGUUUGUUGUUAUGGAAAUAGUGAGAAAAGCUAAAUAUGUAACGAUGUUGGAUGUUAAUUAUUGCAAAUGCUUCUUAAUGACAGUCAGUGGUAUACUUUAUUGUAAUCUUCAAUUCAAAACUGUUUUAUUUUAAGAAGUGGUUAAUUCCUGAUUUCAAAAAUGACCCUAAGACGCUGGGAAACAGGGUUGACUAGCUGCAGGGUGUGUACAUGUAUUUUUAUUCCAAAAUGGGUUUUUCUUGAAUUUUUACUUACAGUAUUUGGAAACUUACUUAGUUGGUGUCCUGCUGUACUAUGUACAUGACAAGCUUCAUACAGAGAUAACAGUACUGGAACCAGUCACUUAAAAUCUAAAAAUAAAUGGUAUAACUUAAGGCUUAAACAACCAGAGAGAGAGGAAAAUUGGAGAAAAGAAAAAGACAGAAGGAAAAAACUGCUCUGGACAUUGCCCAGUGGAAACAAACUAUAUAAGAACUACAUUACUGAAUCUGAACACAGCACAGAGCUUAGAGACAAAAACAAUGAACCCAUGAUUUUCAAGAGAAAAAACAUUCCAUGGGUUCUAUAAAAAUGCAUCUUCCUAACUACUUCAUAGACAUUUACAAUUAGAUGCCAGAACACACAGAAUAUGAACCAUGUUUUCUGGAAAUGGAGAGGAAUUCACUUCUAACAAACUUCCUUGCUUUUGUCUUUACAUCCUUCUACGGGUAUGUCCUCUCUGAAAGAAUGUUACGUUCUUUCGAAAAACAUUCACUUGAGCAUCAGCAGCAAGAAAUAGUGAAAAAAAUUAUCUGUUUGUCUGCCUUUUUCUUAAUUUAUCAUGAAAAAGACAAAACCAUGUCAAGGAAGCAGGAAAAAUGGAGGAUAUUUUAUUACCAUAAUAUACUGUAAUGCAUCCUUUAUGAUAGCCACUUAUUUAUGUAAUUUUUAGAUUCUCUUACUGUUUAACAGUAAGAGAGUUUAUAAAUGGAAAAAUGACUAUUUUGAGAUAAAUCUAUUUAGUCAUCAUUGUUAAUUUAUUUUCAUUCCCCUUUUAUACCAAUCUGUGAUUCCUCUCUCCAUUCCAUUCAUUUUGGCUGGAAAUUUCAAGUGCAUAGCCUUUUCCUUUCAGUAAUUCUUUCAAAACUUAUUUCAUAUUAGCAGAGCUAGUGAUUUUUUCUCCUUUACUGUGAAUCAAAAUAAAUCUUUUUUUUCCAAAGAUAAAGAGUUUUCAUUGCAAAUUUGAUGAAUGAGAGAAUGAGAAUACCUUUAAAUAUUAUUAUUCUUUCUUUUGCUUUAGGAAAUGAGAAAUAUUCUGCAGUUUAAAACAUAAAUAACUCAUACAUACAUUAAAAAAAGUCCUUUAGAGAUUUGAUGUGACCAGUAUUGUCACACAAAAUUGUGCUAUUUCAUAGCUGUUAUGCAGAGUUGUCUGCAAUGUAGGUAAGCAACUUUAACAGCUAAUGCAAUGGAUCAGAAUAUUCCUCCGGGAUGAACAAUGAUGGAAAUUGUUUGGGUCAGGCAGUCCCAAAGAGUAAUGUGUAUUCUUCCUAAAAUCUACAAGGACUGAAGAGAGAGGAUACGUUAAACCUGCUUCCCAGUGGUUUCCAGAUUCAUUUUGAAUAUAUUUCUGCACAUAAGUCCAUAGGUUUUGGUUAGAAAGAUUUCUUUUUCUUGUUUGCUUACAAUUUGUGCUUGCAAGAUCAUCCUAAAUUAGAACCCAUGCUGACACUAUAAAUGUGUGUAUUUCUUUUUGGAACUAAACAAAACACAAAAAAAAGAAACGAGGAAGUAUCUUAUUAAAACAGUAUGUAUAUCAUAAUAAUUAGGUGCCUAGCACCAUUGUGUUGGACUUUAAUAGUAUCUCAAGGGUUGUUAGAUUAAUUUUUCAAUUGAACAAAGGUGAAUUUUCAAAGAUUUAACAAACAUAGGACAUUCCUUUCAAGGUGAAAAUUCCUUCUCCCUCUUCCUCAAAUGAACUGCUUUGCUUAAGAAAACAAAAACUUGACAAGUCAUAAAUGCAAUUGUGUUCUCUCAGGUAAGGAAAAUGUUCAGAUGGAGAAUCAGUUCAGACUGUGAGCUAAUGCAGCCUCCUCAGUACGUCAGAAGAACUGUAAAUCCUAUUCAGAAGAUUUUCACCCAAAUGAAAUGGAUUUUGGCUAUGCUCCUGCCCUGGAUGGGUACUCUGAAGGUAUCCAUGAACUUUCUAUUAUUAAUCAGAAAAUACACAGAAAGAUGGAGACUCAGCACCCUGCAAAUUCCAUGGCAUUUCACUGCCCCACUUUUACUGGAGAGAAAAUUGUUAUUUUGUACUGAUUUUUGCUGAUCACUUUUUAGUGGUAGUAAUAUAGCAGGAACUCUAGUUCUCACAGUGGAAAUACAGACAAUCAGAAAACAUCCCACCUAUCUACAUCUUUACUUCUUAAGGGGAUAAUUUUGUGAGAAAGAUUGAGUGAGGAUAGUAUUAAUAAAUCCCAAUUUUCUAUCAUAGUACAAUAGAUAAAUGUUAGUGGCUCAUAUUGAUAAAAAUGUUUGGAAAAAACAUUUUCACAGCUAAGACCACAAAAUUAAAAAAAAAAAAAAAAAAAAGAAACAUACAGGAAUCUGUUUCUAGGUAUUGGGUAUCUUUCCCUCAUUCUUUAUAUUUUGAGAAAAUCACCACCUUCAUUAAAUGAGUCUCAUUAAUAUCAUACUCCUAGAUAUAAAUGCUCCCAUUUAGGCUGGAAUUCAGUUAGCAACCCUAUUUUGGUCCGUAUGGAAUUGGCUUAAUUAAGACGGACUAAUAUUUUGGACCAAACUAAUUAAUAGCUUAGUAGUGGAUUCAGCUGUAAGAUUUUCAGCAGUCUUAAAGUAGGGUCUCUCAGAGGGAGACAGCUGCUCAUCAUUGACAUGCAGGACUAAUACAUUCAGCUUGAAAAUGAACCUGAGUAGCUCCAGCUGAGCUUUGCCACUGCAGGUAUUGGAAAUCUUCUUGUCACCUGAGUAUUCCUAGUGCCUUUUCCAUCUAAUUAGCUCUCAUAUCCCAAACCAAAGUUACAGAAAAACUGGUGUACUCUUGCUGACUGAAUUCGUAGUGGAGUAGAAAAGAUCAAGGAGCAGAGAGGGCUGAAAACCCUGUCCUGCCAUCUCCCAUGGAACUGCAGCACUGCCACCCGUUCCCAGAGACUGAAGAGCGUUCUUCUUUGGGAAAAAUGCCUUCCUCUCCACUGGGAGUCGAAGAUCAAGUCCUCAGUGGAUCAAGUCCUUGGACAAAAAUUGUGAUGGUAUAAAUUGCUUGCAAUCCUGCAAUUAUUUUUAAGCGUAUAUCAUCUUACAUAUACAUACUACAUAUAUAUUUCUUGCAUGUACAGACGACAAGAGUUUAGAAACAAAGGAAUCAAUCUUCACUGUAAAAAGUCACUAUAGCAUAUGAACAUUUCUAUAGCAAUUUAUUUUGCUUUGAGUAACAUAUGAAUGCUUCCUUAGAGUAGCCAUAUAAUUCUAAUGACUCUUCUGAUGUUUGCAAAUUAUGCUAACAAUGAUCUUUUCUACAUGUAAACAUAAAACCUCACAAUUAUGUUAACACUGUGGUCAAUAUAGAGAAGGGAUUUCUAAUCCAUACAGGUUAUAAUUUAUUGCUUUUUUUCUGCCACUUUAUUGUACCUUCCUUUAAAUGAAGCAGCACUAAAAUUUGCUAAUUAUUUUUCUCACUGCAAUGUUUGUAGUGCCACCUUUUAAUUUUUGUCCAGAUUUCUUCAUACAAGCAAUGUUUCUGAAAAUGGUAUUCUUGCAACUUAAUAAAAAAGGUAUUACCUUAAUCAUAUGUAGUUUCUUCUGUGAAAUCAACAUGAAAGAAAAAUGUUUGAGGAGGUGACAGCUUUUAUAUUUUGUGUUUCCUUGGUCAGAGCUCCUGCUGUUGCAUAGCUCUCAAUGUAAAUGGUUUGCUAGAAAAACAGUGGUGCUGUUUUUCUUUGUAUUUUAUUUCAUUUGGAAUUGAUCAUGCCUCUGCUUUCAGAUUUACCAAGAUUAAAAGUACGUCUGAAUUAAUGUCAGCUUUAGAUAUCUAUUAUAAUGUCAGUAGCUUGAAAUCUAUUAUAUUAAUGUCACAUAUAUCUAGUAAAGUAGAAACACAAGUCUAGGAAUAGGGAUUUUUAGAGAUCUGACCUGUUUUUUCUUCUUUGCUGUAACUUUCUGCCUGAUAAUAA